AGCACUAUGCCUAAGGACCAAGGGAUGUAUCAUGGCCAAAGAAGAGCCCAACCCCUGUUCCCAGUGUGGAACCACAGGAUCUUCUUACCUUCCAGAGCAACGUAAGGCAAGCACCUUCCAUCAGCUGCAGACACCAGUGCUGGUAGUAGAAGAUGCCUGAGAAGGCGAGGCUGGAGCCCAGACACAGCAGCUCUCCAGGCGUGAUGGGUGGCGCGUCCAUGGUGCCAGGCUUGGGCAGAACACCUGCAAGGAAUGUCCCAAUACUGCCCCGGGGCCAAGCCUGCCCGUGAGUCUGGCUGGGCGCAGUUCAGCUCCAACGCACACAGGUGCUCCAGCCCUGGCCUGACUCAGCACUUUU